CCCCCCCGUGGUGGCUGUGGCGUGGCAGAGCGUUUUGUUUGGCGUGGCUGUGACUUCUUUCAGUCGGACGCAGUAGUUGUUGUUUGUGGCAGCCGAUGAGGCACCUGUUUCCACGCAUUCAGCGCACCUGUUUGCUGGCCCUGCCUGUGGGAGACGGAUUGUGCCGCUGGAUUGCUUCCGGGUCCGUUCGCGUGUCCGUUUGGUGCCGAGGGCCUGAGGCGGGCAGUUGAUCCCUGGUGGUGGUGUUUCUUCACGAUUCCUUUUUGUUGGUGUGCAGUGUCAUGGGUGGCUAUUUUUUAUGGACCUUCCCUUUUUGAUUUUUCCCUGCCGCUGUGUGAGGUGAAAAGCUGACUUGGACCAGAGCUGUUUCCAGAGUGUGGAGUGGCGUGGAGUUCGGGCUGGGAUGAGCUGAGGCAAGUGGAGUAGCAAGUGAGUGAAGCUGAACAGAGCAGGACGAGGCUGAUCAGUGAGAGCUGCUCGAGCACAGUGAAAUAAGGAUGGAGCCACAGAGGGCACAUACCAUCAUGUGUGCAGCAGCUGUGCUGCACAACAUUUUGCGUAGCCACUCCCAGUGGAGGACUUGGGACCAGUGGAGGCAGCGGUGGAACAUAUCAGAGCUGCAGAGGAGGAUGUGGCAGCUCAUCACAUCAGAAACAAUAUAAUUCAGCUGAUUAGCCUACAAAAAAAUGGAGCUGUUUCAGUAUUAGAGACAUAUCCUCUGUAAUAAUUUUGUUACUUUAACAUUUUACAUUAUUGUAUUGUAUUGUUCAGAUUGAAAGAACUGUAAACGGCUUGCAGAUGAAUUAUUUACUGAUUAAAUUGUGUAUGUUGAGAAGUAAAAUAAGAUUUCUGAUGUAGAUGUUCAAAUAUUUUAUUUAGAUGAUGAUGCAUUCUGGGAUUUAUAUUACUUUAGAUGUAUGGGAUCAUUUAGAUUUUCAUAAACACACUGUCGUUCUCCAUUGCACAGCUGGCCCUUUGCUCUAAGCUGGAUUUCUGAGGAAUGUUUACAUUUCCAAGCUCAGAGUUCUCCUUUCCCACCCGUAACUUCUUUCCUCCUCCACUCUCAGUUUCUUCCUCCUGUAACACAGACUGGACAUCUCGACCUCUUGUCCUUCGAGCAUGUGCAGUUGCUGUGUUUUUCGGAGCUGUCCACGGUGCUGAAGGUGGUUGGGAUUCUUUGUUUCAUUCACUCACAACAACACUCCAUCCACCCACUGGAAACAGAUCUAUUACUAGUCUAUUACUGUUUUAUUAUUCAACCAUUUCUAAGAGGCCAUGUUACAUUCAUGACUGCUGUCUGAUGAACUUCAUUCGAUGUGGAAGAAAAACUUGAGUCCUCUUCAUCGUCAACAUGCAACAUGCCAGUCGUUUCUUUUUUUUCUUAUUAGUUGUGACACUGUUUUGUUUGGAUACUAAAAAAAGAACAGUACAAUAUUUUUUUGGUU